rnacentral:rRNA from 1 species
AGAGUUUGAUCCUGGCUCAGGAUAAACGCUGGCGGCGCACAUAAGACGUGCAAGUCGAACGAACUUAACUCAUUCUUUACGAUUGAGAGCGGUUAGUGGCGGACUGGUGAGUAAUACGUAAGCAACCUGCCUAUCAGAGGGGAAUAACAGUGAGAAAUCAUUGCUAAUACCGCAUAUGCUAACAGUAUUGCAUGAUACAGUUAGGAAAGGAGCAAUCCGCUGAUAGAUGGGCUUACGCCUGAUUAGCUAGUUGGUGGGGCAACGGCCUACCAAGGCGGCGAUCAGUAGCCGGACUGAGAGGUUGAACGGCCACAUUGGGACUGAGAUACGGCCCAGACUCCUACGGGAGGCAGCAGUCGGGAAUAUUGCGCAAUGGAGGAAACUCUGACGCAGUGACGCCGCGUAUAGGAAGAAGGUUUUCGGAUUGUAAACUAUUGUCGUUAGGGAAGAUAAAAGACUGUACCUAAGGAGGAAGCCCCGGCUAACUAUGUGCCAGCAGCCGCGGUAAUACAUAGGGGGCAAGCGUUAUCCGGAAUUAUUGGGUGUAAAGGGUGCGUAGACGGAGAGACAAGUUGGUUGUGAAAUCCCUCGGCUCAACUGAGGAACUGCAACCAAAACUAUUUCCCUUGAGUGUCGGAGAGGAAAGUGGAAUUCCUAGUGUAGCGGUGAAAUGCGUAGAUAUUAGGAGGAACACCAGUGGCGAAGGCGACUUUCUGGACGAUAACUGACGUUGAGGCACGAAAGUGUGGGGAGCAAACAGGAUUAGAUACCCUGGUAGUCCACACCGUAAACGAUGGAUA